GACGUCAAAUCCUCAUGGCCCUUACGCCUGGGGCUAGACACGUGCUACAAUGGUCGGUACAGCGGGUUGCGAGCCGGUGACGGCAAGCUAAUCCCUAAAAACCGAUCUCAGUUCGGAUUGGAGUCUGCAAUUCGACUUCCAUGAAGUGAGANCNUAAUANCGCGAUCAGCAUGGCCGCGGUGAANACGUUCCCGGGCCUU
rnacentral:rRNA from 1 species